CUCUGGAUAGCUCAGUUGGAAGAGCGUCAGACUGUAAUGGUUACCUAACAUCUGAAUGUCGCUGGUUCGAACCCGGCUCCGGAGA